UACAGAGGGUGCGAGCGUUAAUCGGAUUUACUGGGCGUAAAGGGCGCGUAGGCGGUGAGAUGUGUGUGAUGUGAAAGCCCCGGGCUUAACCUGGGAAGUGCAUCGCAAACUGUCUGACUGGAGUAUAUGAGAGGGUGGCGGAAUUUCCGGUGUAGCGGUGAAAUGCGUAGAUAUCGGAAGGAACGUCAAUGGCGAAGGCAGCCACCUGGCAUAAUACUGACGCUGAGGCGCGAAAGCGUGGGGAUCGAACAGG
rnacentral:rRNA from 1 species